GAGUGCCGAGGACGGCGCCAGUGAAAGGCAGGCGGUUUGCCGAUUAUGCACAAGUUGAAGAAAGGAGCUGCUGUGGGAUGGUAAAAAAAGUUCCAGGAGCAACAAAGAGUCUUGAUUUUUAUAGGGUUGCAGAUUUUAAAGAAAGAAAACUGUGUUGUAAAGAAAGAAGAAGAUUUUCACUCAAAUAAUGGUGGAUGACAAAGUUCUUCCUAUGAAUGAUGUCAUAACCCACUUUGAAAAAAAAGUUUGUUGGAGAGAAAAGGAUCUGAAGAGGGAGAAAGAAUUGAUUAUAUUCAGAUGGAUUUAUAGACUGUUAGACCUUUUGCUAUCACUUAAUUCUGUACUAUUAGUUCCGCAACACUGAGCCUAUAAGCUUUUGACUUGAUGGUUUAUCUAAUUUGAGAGAGCAU